UGGGGGAUAUUGCACAAUGGGCGAAAGCCUGAUGCAGCGACGCCGCGUGGUGGAUGAAGGCCUUCGGGUUGUAAACUUCUUUUGCUCUGAACAAGGCAUGCCUUUGGGGUGUGUUGAGUGUAGGGGUUGAUUAGCGCCGGCUAACUACGUGCCAGCAGCCGCGGUACUACGUAGGGCGCGAGCGUUGUCCGGAAUUAUUGGGCGUAAAGGGCUUGUAGGUGGCUGGUUGCGUCUGUCGUGAAAGCUCAUGGCUUAACUGUGGGUUUGCGGUGGGUACGGGCUGGCGUGAGUGCAGUAGGGGAGGCUGGGAUGCCUGGUGUAGCGGUGAAAUGCGCAGAUAUCAGGAGGGAUACCGGUGGCGAAGGCGGGUCUCUGGGCUGUUAAUGACGCUGAGGAGCGAAAGCGUGGGGAGCGAACAGG
rnacentral:rRNA from 1 species